rnacentral:rRNA from 1 species
GACGAACGCUGGCGGCGUGCUUAACACAUGCAAGUCGAACGAAGUGGCGAACGGGUGAGUAACGCGUAAUCAACCUGCCCUUCAGAGGGGGACAACAGUUGGAAACGACUGCUAAUACCGCAUACUGAAGGAGGGGAUUGCGUCGGAUUAGCUAGUUGGAGGGGUAAAGGCCCACCAAGGCGAUGAUCAGUAGCCGGUCUUGUAGGAUGAACGGCCACAUUGGGACUGGGACACUGCCCAGACUCCUACGGGAGGCAGCAGUUGGGAAUCUUCCGCAAUUGACGGAAGGCUGACGGCGCAACGCCGCGUGAGUGAUUACGGCCUUCGGGGUGUAAAGCUCUGUUAAUCGGGACGCGGUACCGGAAUAGAAAGCCACGGCUAACUACGUGCCAGCAGCCGCGGUAAUAC